CCCUUAGAUGUUCUGGGCCGCACGCGCGCUACACUGAUGCAUUCAACGAGUCUAAAACCUGCUCUGAUAGGGGUGGGUAAUCUUUUGAAUGUGCAUCGUGAUUGGGAUAGAUGAUUGCAAUUUUUCAUCUUCAACGAGGAAUGCCUAGUAAACGCAAGUCAUCAGCUUGCAUUGAUUACGUCCCUGCCCUUUGUACACACCGCCCGUCGCUCCUACCGAUUGAAUGAUCCGAUGAAUAUCAUGGAUUGAGGAUGCAAGCAGGUUCGCCUGUCUUCAUCUUCGAGAAGUGAAGUAAAUCUUAUCAUUUAGAGGAAGGAUAAGUCGUAACA
rnacentral:rRNA from 1 species